AGAGUUUGAUCCUGGCUCAGGAUGAACGCUGGCGGCGUGCUUAAUACAUGCAAGUCGAGCGAGGACCACUCGGUGGCAACACCGGGUGACUCCUAGCGGCGAACGGGUGAGUAACACGUGGGCAACCUGCCCCCGACUCUGGGAUAAGCCCGGGAAACUGGGUCUAAUACCGGAUACGAGCCUCCUCCGCAUGGAGGAGGUUGGAAAGGGUCUCCGGUCGGGGAUGGGCCCGCGGCCUAUCAGCUUGUUGGUGAGGUAACGGCCCACCAAGGCGACGACGGGUAGCCGGCCUGAGAGGGUGAACGGCCACACUGGGACUGAGACACGGCCCAGACUCCUACGGGAGGCAGCAGUAGGGAAUCUUGCGCAAUGGGCGAAAGCCUGACGCAGCGACGCCGCGUGCGGGACGAAGGCCCUCGGGUUGUAAACCGCUUUCAGCAGGGACGAAGCGAAAGUGACGGUACCUGCAGAAGAAGGUCCGGCCAACUACGUGCCAGCAGCGGCGGUAAUAC
rnacentral:rRNA from 1 species